rnacentral:rRNA from 1 species
ACGAACGCUUGCGGCGUGCCUAAGAAAUGCAAGUCGAGCGGACAGUAGCAAUACUGUUAGCGGCGAACGGUCGCGUAACACGUAGGCAACCUGCCCCAAAGACCGGGACGACAGUGGGAAACCGCUGCUAAUACCGGAUGUGGCCCAGUUGGGACAUCCCAGACUGGAUUAAAUCCUCGCAAGGGGGCUUUGGGAGGGGCCUGCGGCCUAUCAGCUAGAUGGUGGGGUAACGGCCUACCAUGGCGACGACGGGUAGCUGGUCUGAGAGGAUGGUCAGCCGGACUGGGACUGAGACACGGCCCAGACUCCUACGGGGGGCAGCAAUUAGGAAUCUUGUGCAAUGGGCGAAAGCCUGACACAGCGACGCCGCGUGAGGGAGGACGGCCUUCGGGUUGUAAACCUCUUUUAACGAGGAAGAAACAAAUGACGGUACUCGUUGAAUAAGCCCCGGCUAACUCCGU